rnacentral:snoRNA from 14 species
ACUGAGGGUCCGGAGUCGGUGGGUUACCCUAUUUGAAACCACUCACAUCGACAAUUCCUUGACCGUUAG